AGGAGGAUCCCAUCCAAGAGCAACUGGGGAGUUUUGAAAGACAGAGGCUUAUUAUCGACCAAGAUGCUCUUUCACGGCUAAAGUUGCUCAACAAGUCUCUGCCUCAGUCCAAAUGUGUGGACAAUUGUCACCCUGGAUUUGUAAAACGGGCUCGGAAAGAAGAACCCAUUUGCUGCUACGAUUGUAUUCCUUGUCCGGAGGGGACCAUCUCCACACAGGAAGAUACUGAAAAAUGCACCAAGUGCCCAGAUGACAAAUAUCCCACUGAUGACAGAAUCCAAUGUAUCCCCAAAAGAAUAACCUUCCUGUCCUAUGAAGAA